GACGAACGCUGGCGGCGUGCUUAACACAUGCAAGUCGAACGAUGAAGCCGGAGCUUGCUCCGGUGGAUUAGUGGCGAACGGGUGAGUAGCACGUGAGCAAUCUGCCCUUGACUCUGGGAUAACUGCGGGAAACUGUAGCUAAUACCGGAUACGACACCUUGGGGCAUCCCAGGGUGUGGAAAGAAUUUCGGUCAAGGAUGAGCUCGCGGCCUAUCAGCUAGUUGGUGAGGUAAUGGCUCACCAAGGCGACGACGGGUAGCCGGCCUGGGAGGGUAACCGGCCACACUGGAACUGAGACACGGUCCAGACUCCUACGGGAGGCAGCAGUGGGGAAUAUUGCACAAUGGGCGAAAGCCUGAUGCAGCAACGCCGCGUGAGGGAUGAAGGCCUUCGGGUUGUAAACCUCUUUUAGCAGGGAAGGAGCGAAAGUGACGGUACCUGCAGAAAAAGCACCGGCUAACUACGUGCCAGCCGCCGCGGUAA
rnacentral:rRNA from 1 species